UCUGUAGGUGGCCCGCUAAGUCACACGUGAAAUCCCUCAGCUUAACUGGGGAACUGCGUGUGAGACUGGCAGGCUUGAGUGCAGGAGAGGAACGCGGAAUUCCAGGUGUAGCGGUGAAAUGCGUAGAUAUCUGGAGGAACACCGGUGGCGAAGGCGGCGUUCUGGACUGUAUCUGACACUGAUAGCGAAAGCCAGGGGAGCAAACG
rnacentral:rRNA from 1 species